rnacentral:tRNA from 1 species
GGGGUUGUGGCUCAGUGGUAGAGUGCUCACCUAGCAUGUAUGAGGCACUGGGUUUGAUCCUCAGCACCACA